rnacentral:rRNA from 1 species
UACGGGGGGGGCAAGCGUUGUUCGGAAUUACUGGGCGUAAAGGGCUCGUAGGUGGCCAACUAAGUCAGACGUGAAAUCCCUCGGCUUAACCGGGGAACUGCGUCUGAUACUGGAUGGCUUGAGUUUGGGAGAGGGACGCGGAAUUCCAGGUGUAGCGGUGAAAUGCGUAGAUAUCUGGAGGAACACCGGUGGCGAAGGCGGCAUCCUGGACCAAUUCUGACGCUGAGGAGCGAAAGCCAGGGGAGCAAAGCGGG